rnacentral:misc_RNA from 1 species
GAUGAAGAACGCAGCAAAAUGCGAUAAGUAAUGUGAAUUGCAGAAUUCAGUGAAUCAUCGAAUCUUUGAACGCACAUUGCGCCCGCCAGUAUUCUGGCGGGCAUGCCUGUUCGAGCGUCAUUUCAACCCUCAAGCACAGCUUGGUGUUGGGACUCGCGUUAAUUCGCGUUCCUCAAAUUGAUUGGCGGUCACGUCGAGCUUCCAUAGCGUAGUAGUAAAACCCUCGUUACUGGUAAUCGUCGCGGCCACGCCGUAAAACCCCAACUUCUGAAUGUUGACCUCGGAUCAGGUAGGAAUACCCGCUGAACUUAAGCAUAUCAAUAAGCGGAGGA